rnacentral:misc_RNA from 1 species
ACAGUAAGCUGAAUGUCAUAUUUACCGGAUAGAUAGAAAAAUUUCUCAACCAGUCCAAGAAAAUCUAAAAUUAUCUCAAACUUCUUUUCAGAGUUCCCAACCAAAAAGAUAUGCUCAACACCGGUCUCAUGUCUCAACUUAAGAAAUGCCUGGUGUGGCUUAAAAGCAUGGCCAAGAGGAGUGGUCAAAUGAAAAGACAAGUGCAG